CUGAGAGCGAGACAAGGCUUUCGGUUCCCGCUACCUGUCCAUCUGCGCUGGGGGGCGCAACGAGGGCGCGGCGUCGCGGUCGUGCGAGUGACUGAUUACACAUGGAUCUGCGGAUGGAGAAAGUGGGCUUCCUGGCAACUUCGUAUUGAGGAUUUAUGCAGAGGUACAGAAGGUAAUGCCCCCCUCUUCAAACAAUCAAUCUGGAAGACAUCCUGGAAUAAAGUCAGUAAUCUCCUACAAGUCUGACUGAUAAAUGUUGCUUCAUCUGCCAGUAAACAGAGUCAGUUGUUUUUUCUGCAAGGUUUCAGGUCACGGAAGCAUAGAAACAGGAUUAAGGAAUACGUCGGACCUACAGAAGACCCAGCAUCCUAAGCCAUCUUCUGGUCUCCAGAAGUCUCCACCUACCACUUCCUCUUCUCUGGCACCAGAUUCCACCUCCUCGUGACCUCACUUCAGGUUCCAAGACUAUGCCCAUCUCUGUCAUUAUUUCCUGUUUGUCAUAUAUUUAUAGCAGCCAUUUUGUAACAAAUGACAGUUCAGUUUGGAACUCAUGACUGUAAAGACCUCUCUACAAACCAACUAUUUUCAAAGUAUAUGGGGU